CAGACGGGACAACUGGCUUAGAGAUGUUAAAUAUCCUGGAUUAUUGUCAGUUUAACAAAAUAAUUUCGGCUAUCAAAGAUCAAGUGGGAUAAAUUUCAGAGGAAGAAACUGAGCUCCUUGCAUACCAUAGAGGAGAGGCCGAGGUCCUUCCACUGCAGCACCAAGUGGGGUAUAUAAAGCCACACUGCCCAUGAGGGCUGUGGCGUGAGUCAGCUAGCCGUGAGAGACAGAUGCAUUACAAAGGGAUGGAUUUAGUGCACUCUUUCCUCUCUUACUCACAGCCUGAACAGCCAGUGAACGAUGAAACAAAACUUCUUCCCAAGCCUCAAUGAGGAUUGUGCCAUAGUUUGAAGGUAGGAG